AUGGUAUUAUUCACUUUACCCUUUAUUUUGUCCUUAUCAUUAAAACUCAAUAUUUUCAAGCCCUUUUCAUUAGUUUUCCAUUUUAUUAAUAGAAGUUUAUUUAGUUUGACAACAACAAAAAAACGUCGGAAGCUCUGAUAGUACAUUGAAUAUAAAUCAACAUAAAACUUCUUAUUGCUGGUGUCGGAAGUUGACGCCACAAUUUUAACUAACAUAACCGCCACAACUACGUGGAAACGUAAACAUGAAAAAACCCUUGGCUCUCUCUGGCCGCAGGAACAAUUCCCAGCCGAAAUCUUGCUAGUCUCGUAGGAGCGGCCUUCAGUUGAAACAGCUCAACGUGCGUUGGUUUCGGAACUUGCAAUCAUGAAUGUUGUUAAACACCCUUUGCAGUAAAACACAACGGUAAAGCAAGGUGUCGAUGGAAGACAUUAGCUGACUGCACAUGAACCGUACAAGCACGAAGAUGUCCCAAGAUGACGGUGGCUUAUAUUCAAGAAGCGUCAUGAGAGCUCGAGCUUGAGGUUGUACCUGCCAAUUAAUGUCCACGACCAUAGUACUCUCAGUCAGAAACUGCAGCGUGACAGG
rnacentral:sRNA from 1 species